rnacentral:lncRNA from 1 species
ACAGAAGUGAGACCCAGGGGCCAGAGUAGACGGAGGGAACUGGGAAGCGUGGAGCGUGGGACCUUUUCAUAGAUGGAUGGCAGUGUCACACUGUGACUGUGGUGACCACUGUGUCUGACCCCAUGGGCAUUCAGAGCUGCCGCAGGCGCGUCCUUCUUUAGCCUCGUUUCCCUGGUAACCAGCUCUGUGACUCCCUGCCGCCUCCUAGUCGUCACCCCUUGGGCCUUCAUCUUUCCUUUUCCUGAGAUGUUUAUAAAACCCAGCCUCCCACCACACCUCCUGAUUCCCUGUGUUUGCAGGGUUCUUGCCCCAGUUCCACCCGGCCCACCCCUUCCUACCCUGCCCAGUCCCUCUGUCCGUCCUAUUUCUUUCCCGGCCAUGUUCCAGCUGCGUAGCAUGGAUGCAGGUAGUCCCGGCCUCGCUUAUCUCUCAUUAUCAGAGUUUACAGAAAACCGCCUGGGUUGCCUCCCAUUCCCAGGCUGAGGAAAUUAAAGUGGCUGCAUUUUUAUUACAGCUUCUCUCAAGGAUACUUCCAGAAACCACAGAAUCCGGGAACCUUAUUACUGAAGUGGAAGUUGAGAGGUCACCUCCCAUCCCCUUCCUUCUAGGCAGUUGGAUUUCUUUUUGUUUUUGUUUUGUUUUGUUUUUGUCUUUCUAGGGCCGCACCCGCGGCAUAUGGGGAUUCCCAGGCUAGGGGUCUAAUCGGAGCUGAGCUGCUGGCCUACACCAGAGCGACAGCAACACCAGAUCCGAGCCACGUCUUCAACCUACACCACAGCUCACGGCAACACUGGAUCCUUAACCCACUGAGCGAGGCCAGGGAUUGAACCCACAACUUCAUGGUUCCUAGUUGGAUUCCUUAACCACUGCGCCAUGACGGGAACUCUGGCAGUUGGAUUUCUAAACUCUUUAUAAAUGGACCUUCUUUAAGAUUUCUAUGUCGACAGUCACAACUCGGGCCUUAUGAUAGGGCAGCCAUGGAAUUUUUCAUUCAAAUAGGCGGACAUGCAAGAAUGAAAGGCACCCUGACCACACAGGACCCCAGGGCAGCUGAAGCAAGCUGGGGUAGCCUUGGGCUGGCUGGGACUUGCGGUCACUUCCACACAAUGUGUCCAGCAGACGGAACCUGAGAAACUCCUUUUUGUGAGAGUUUACUGUUUGUCACGAGCUGAUCUCCAAGAGUUUUCUGGGGCCAUUGUUUCAGGUGCUGGGACCAAAGUGAGCAAGGUGCAGUUCUGGCCUUGACGCCGUCGGGGAAGAAAGACAGGAAUAUAGUUUGCUGUGAUUCGGUUUGACUAGCUUUGGUUUCUGUGUGGACAAGGAAUAGCUUUGUGAACAAAGCAGCAGUGAUGGAGGGGGGAGCCAGAGGCAGUGACACGAGAGGGGCCUGCGAAGAAUGCGCAGGAUUCCGCGGGGAGGCUGCAGACCUGGGGCAAAGCAGGGGCGUGAAGAGCAUGCGGCCCAGCACAGUGUGGCCCGGGGUGGGGAGGCCGGGGCUGGGAGUGGGCCCCGCUGAGGAGCCUCCGCUUUUGGGGGCCUCCUUGGUGCCGGGCCUUCGUAUUCUCCUCCUGCUCCAGUGUGAGGUCUUGUGAAGGUGGGGGGGGGGCAGGGACUGGAGGCGGCCCCAAGACCCUCUGCCCCACAGUGGGGCGGGGACCCCCAAACUGAGGCGUGUCAGGAGGAGGAAAAGGCAGAGAAAUGUCCAGACUGUGGCUGCCAAGACAGGGGAGGGCCACGCUGGUGCCCGGAUCCCAGUGGUCCGCUCACGAGGACCAAGGAGAAGGGACUUCCGCUGGCUGAGUCAUGGGGUGACAGGGUUGAGUCCCACACUCCUGAAGGCAGUUUGGGGCACGUGUGUGGCAAAAAGGGGGAUCGACUCCUGCAGAAAAGUUUGAUUCCUUAGUGGGUUGAUCAAAAACAAGGUGGUAGAAGAGCGUGGUCAGGGAACAAGGGUGGCUUGAGGGGACUUGGGGACCAUCUCACCCCAAAGUGGGGGGGAUCGUGAAUGACAGGGAGGGCCAUCCAGGAAGCUGGGGGAGAAGAGCCCAUGAUGCCAGGGUGACCAAGGAGAGGCUGUUGGGUCUCAGAACUAGAUGGCCAUUGGGAACUUUCAGAGGAAGCUUUAGUACCGUGACUGGGCGGAAGCCAGGCCAGGAGCUUGGGAGAUGGGGAGCAGGAAGGGCCUGCUCCUUGCAAACAGUUGGAGGAAGGAGGAAAGCUGAAGCUGGAGGGUGAGCUGGGGCUUCAUGAAAAGUGCUCCUUUCCAGGUUAAUAGAGUCUUGAGGAAGUCGCUAUGGACAGUGAGUUAAAGCCCGCCCAGUCUGGGCUCUUGAGGGUCAUGCAGGCUUCCCACUGCCCCGUAGACCUGUCCUCUCCAUACCCCAGCCGCCAGCCGGGUAUGGCCAUUGACAUCCAACUUGAUUAACAUUGAAUCAAAUUUCAAUUUGAUUAAAAUUGAAAACUGGGGUCUUCCAUCUCAUCAGCUACAUAUCGAGUGUGUAGCCACGUGGCCCAUGACUGCACGUCAGACAACACCCACGAAGCGCGGGCCCCUCACCAGAGCUGCCCUAGGCUUCCCCACAUCUGUGGUAGACUGAUCACCUCCCAUUCUGCCUUUUGGGUUUCAUGGGCUCUCAGCAUUAUCUGGUGCCCCAACCCAACUCUAAAGUGAAGGAAGCCAGAUGAUGCUUUUUGCAGAAGUGCUGAAGAAUUCUUAGCAUUUUAAAGUCGACCUUAUCCCCAAACAUAGGCCUAUGAUAAAUUGCUCCAUGAAGUUAAACAAGAAAAGAGAGAGGAAAAAAAUGUAAAUAAGUGGAUUAUUUCUGAUGAACCAUCUAUUUACAGUCUUUUCAUAGUUACCAUCGAACUAUUUUCAUCUGAUAAUUAGCCUUUGUUCAUGCACAGAAACUUAAUUCUUGUAAUUCUUUCCCAGUUAUGUGCUCAUUAGAACAAUUUGGCAACUUAGCCUCCUCCAUCCAGGAAGCCCUGGGGCCCUGCUGGCUGCCCACCUGCCUGGGCACUUCCAAAUAGACCUUGAGGGCUGCAGGGAAGAAGAGGCGUAUCUGUUGGUGGUGGCAGGUUUCUGAGAAACCGCUGCAUCUGGGCACAGAGCAGGUGUCUCGUUCUCUCUAAGCCACUCUGCCCUCUAUCCUUCAGAGGGAACUCAUCUCCAAGAUGCUUGGGUUUAAAAAGGUCUUUCCAGGAGUUCCUAUCGUGGCUUAGCAGAAACAAAUCUGACUAGUAUCCGUGAGGAUGCAGGUUCGAUCCCUAGCCUUGCUUAGUGGAUUAAGGAUCCGGCAUUGCCAUGAGCUGUGGUGUAGGUCACAGAUACGACUCGGAUCUGGUGUUGCUGUGGCUGUGGCAUGGGCUGGCAAUUUGACCCAUAGCCUGGGAACCUCCAUGUGCCACUGGCACAGCCCUAAAAAGACAAAAAAAAAAAGCCCUUUCCGUUGGAUGCGCCGAGGUCGGGGAUGUGCAGGUGGGAGGUCAGGCCUGAGUUGUACAUGUGGGGGUCACUCAUGGCCUUUACUUGGGGGAGGAGAGCGCACUGGUUGAAGGUUCUCGAUGGCCUCACCCCGCGUGGUCGCACUCACGGACACGUUCAGCAAAAUGUGACCAGGUUCACAAGCUGCAGGUACAAAGCUGGUCUGAGGCAGACUUUACUUCAAUCAGGAUCCAAAUUCUGCCCUGUCAACUUGUCUAAUUCUAUAUGUUUACAUUUUGUAUUUGUUUUCUUUUUCUCUUAGUUUUCUAGGGAAUUUUUCAUAUGAAAAUUCCCAGCCUUGUUUUAGCUGAAUGAAGGGAAAGGUUUUUUUCCAGGACUCCUGAGAAAGAUGGAGGGAAUUCGGGCGCCCCUGGUGGCUGUGGUGGCAGCUGCAGGGAGAGUAGCCAGCUUCCCGUCUGGUCCUCAGGGAGCAGGUUCUGUGGGAAAUGUCCGGGAGAUUCAGAGACGCCCGGCUGGUGGGGUUUCUUCCUGCCUCUCCCUACAGGGCAGGACCUCCGUGUCCAUCCCUGAGCCCCAGGUUGGAGCCCUGGAGCCCAUGUCCACACUCAGAUCUGCCUUGCACUGAGAGUUUGGAACAGACUGGGCUCUGGCCGGUGUUGUCUUAUUUAGUACUUAAGCCAGUAUCAAGUUUCAGGGCCCCAGUUUUCAAAUGGACACACGGAGGCUCAGAGAGUGAUUGGUCCAGAUCACAUGGUCAGGAGAUGCUGUUCUGUCUCUCUGGAGCCUGGGUGCCCAGCCUGAUCUGCUCCCUGAUAUUGAACUGUAGGCAGAUGGCCCUGGACAGUUGAAGGGGUACAGCUGACACAGGGAGGCCAUGUGAAUGGUCCAGCUUGGACAGCCUUGGCUGUCACGUCUACCGCGCUGGUUGAACACAUACAGCUUCUAGAAAGUAGGCUGCGUUUUCGGUUGUGGGCUGUGUCCUGUGGUUCUGCCUGUGCUGGGUUGUGUAUGCUUCAGUGACAGGCGCCUGCUCUCCCAGCCUCCUGCGAUGGAAAGACCAGGAAGAGGUGAAGACAAAGACCCCUCGAGAAAUCUGGAAAUAUCUGCAGCUUAGCCACAGCUGAGUGUCUUGCUAGCAAAGCUGUUCCUGCUUCCUUUCCAAGUCUGAGGACACAAAGGGUUCUCUUCUCCGUCUUGGGGGUCGGGGGGUGUGGGGGGCAGAAAGGCAGUCCACCAGGAGUGGCGGUCUGGGGCAGACCCUUUGGGGGCUGUGCUAAGCUUUGAUCCAGCUGAGCAAUGGCUGGCUGCCCGGGCCUGUGGUCCCCCACAGUCCCUGUGAGGCUCCCGAAACCUCAGGCCCCUGUGAAGAGGGUGAGUUGUUGUCACAAGGCCCUGCCCUGUCACCACCUAUUAAAUUUUCUGGGGACCUAGCAGCCCCCGGCCUGUGGCCACUCGGCAGCCUCCUCCGGGCCAAGAACUCUGGCGUGAAGCUAGGCCUCUCCCACUAUUUACUGUUUCAUUAGUGGUUUUCCAAAGGCAGGCGUCCAAGCUUGGCUGGGCCACGCCAUUCGGAAGUACGUGAACACUUAAUAAAACCAAACUGCUGAAGGAUCCCAAACCCAGAAAUCUGGUCUCUUAGAAGUCCAGGCCGGAGGCCCGGGGUCUGCUGCAUUGCCUCUGGAUACUUCUGUGCCACUCAUCUGUCUCUGAGCUCUCCAGCCUGCUAGCAGUUCUUAGCUCUUUGGGGCUCACUAACCUCUUUUUGUAUCUUAAGAAAGCUUUGGACUCUCCCCAGAAAAGUGCACCCCUGAACAUGCAAGCAGCAUCUUGCUUAGAGUCACGGGAUGCUUACAGCCGCCCUCUGAAGAGGGAUCCCGCUGAGAAGCCUGGGCUAAACAGCAGCUGCUUGCAGGAUAGGUGGAGUGUUUUCUCACCAAGAAGAGUCAAGAGGCUUCUCAGUUCUUGGUUUUUGAAAUGCCAGCAACCAGGAUGGGGCCUAAACCACCAGAGUCACGGCUGACCUCAGAGGCCAGAGGGAAUUCAGUGCCCAGGCUCAGAGUCCCUGUGGGCAGCUGCUCAGAGCCCUAGGCUUCGGGGCAAGUCGGGAAUGGCUGUGGGAGUCAGGAGUGGUUUUCAGCAGGUGCUAAUGGCAAGAGCCACGUACUGAGGAAGCAUGGUCACCUUGAAGGUGGCCUUGGGCAAGUCCCAGUCUGUAGCCUGCGAAUGGUAAAAGGCCAGCAGUGGAUGGGGACUGGGGCACAGAGUGUCUGAACAAAGUAGGAGCUGGGUAAACUGAGUGGCGUAGAGGAAGGGGAGUAGUGAGCACCCCAUUAGAGGGGACGGUGUCGGCAUCGAGGGGGGCUUCCUGCCCUGCUGGUUUCUCAAGCUGGGAGCCUUUGAGAAAUCUUCUGUGCCCCCACCCUGCCCCCAUCAGAGCUUCUAAUCUCAGGAAGGUGAGAACAGAGGGGAGAAGGGGGAGUUAGUGUUUUGGUGGCUGGUUUUGGCAGGUGGCAUGAUUUGUCCCCAAAACAAGCUCCCUCAGGUCCCCUAGAAGUGUGAACCCCCUGAGGGCUGGUCCAGAAGACCUUGGACCUGCAGUUCCUGAGCCUCUACCCAUUGGCCCAGGGCUGGAAUAGACCCAGGCUGGGCUGGAGGGACGAUGCGGAGGACGGGGCUGCUGGGGCCCUUUUACAUGGGGGCGGGGGUGGGGGGCUGCUCACCUCUGUGCUCUAAACCAGAGACCUCUUUUAAAGUCAUCUUCUGGAGUUCCCGUCGUGGCGCAGUGGUUAACGAAUCCGACUAGGAACAAUGAGGUUGUGUGUUCGAUCCCUGCCCUUGCUCAGUGGGUUAAGGAUCCAGCAUUGCUGUGAGCUGUGGUGUAGGUCACAGACACGGCUUGGAUCCCGUGUGGCUGUGGCUGUGGUGUAGGCUGGCAGCUACAGCUCCUAUUGGACCCCUAGCCUGGGAACCUCCAUAUGCCGAGGGAGCGGCUCAAGAAAAAGGCAAAAAGAC